UGGUACCAAAAUGGACUUGAAAAUGAUGGAAACUUUUCUUAACCGAAGGAUAUAAGGUCAGUCAGCAUACACGACUGGUUUGACUUGCUGGGUCUUUUCUUGUUGCGGAUUACUCAUGGUAAAUCAGUACCCUCCUCCCCCGGCCCUCAUUUCAUUAUUUUACAAAAAAAAAAAUGCUAUUUACAUAAAGAGCUGGAUACAGUAUUAGAGAAUGAUUGUUGGUGAUCUACAAAAUAUGGUGGUACUAAAAAGUUGUAAAACACUUUAUUGGUUAUCUGCAAAAUAUAGGUAGGGGGUAGGAAGAUGGAAAGCUUAAGUGAUAGUUCUGCUAUAAUGAUUUGCCCCAAUUUGAGAGGAGAUCGUGUUUCGAGGGUUUCUAUCCCCUUCAUUGAUCAGAUGGCAGAAUCAGGGGCACAUGUUGUUAUGGUAGUUAGAAAUACCAAGGCAGCCCAUGAACUGAUCUAAAAUGGCAGGAUGAAUGGUCUGGAAAAGAAGCUUUCCUCUCAAUAUUGAGUGCACCAUAGAAUUGCCCCUCAUGUUAGGGCUAACCAGAAUGGACAAACCGACAGAAGAUCAAACUGAUCUGAGACCGCUAAAGCUGUGGAUAUUGAAACCGGACCUGUAAUGAGUUAUGGUAGUCAGUUGGUUUCGAUUUUGGGUUUCAGUACGCCUCACAGGUAAAGGACCGAGAUCGAGAAAGGAGCUAUAACAAGGGUAAAGGCUACGUUGAUCUACAAGGUUUGCAUUACAACUUUCAAUAUCGUAAGGAUCAUGCAUAUCAACUUCUGAGGAUUCUUGCAGUCUUUUAGUUACAAGUGCUUGAGAAUUGAUAUACAUAUAUUGAUAUAAUAAAGUUAAUGCUAUAUUUGUAUAACAAUCACAUGCAUA